GGAUUACCCUUAAAAUAAAAAAAAAAAGGACUAUGUGUUGAAAUAAGACUGGUAAAAUGAUACCUGCAGACUUAGCAGUGAUAAAUAAGAUGGCAAGAAUUAGGGCCCACAACUUCAAAAACAACUUUGAGUGGCAGAAAGCAUCUUCCCCACAUGCCUUAUUGAAUUUGAAUUUGCUAAUCAGCUCAAUUACCUUUAUGAAGUCAGUUAAGGCAGAUUCUCUGGCUAAUGGUGAUGGUAACAAUGAGGUCUCCAUAUGUCAGCCGGAACUGUCUCACUGGAUUUGUCGGGCACAUGGCAACAUCUGCCUCCAUUCUCCUCCAGGUGGACAGACUCCAUUCUCCCUCCAAGAUGGUCUAUAAAUUCUGAUGAAGGAAACAAUGAAAUUCAAAUCAAGACAAAAACACUGAAGCAAUGAAAUACACUUGGGAGAAAGUAAAACUGUAAUGACAUGCGUGCUGACUGUACCCCGAGGAGAAAAGAGGCCCCACUGCCAGUCAGCUGACCCCUGCACAGUGUGGGGCUGGAGAUUGGCACCGCACACAGUGGAAGAUCCGUGCAUGACUGCCCCAAAACCUAACUCCUAAUAGCCUACUGUUGACCAGAAGCCUUACCAAUAACAAGCUUGGCCACAGGAGGCAAAUUACUAAUAACAGAACUGUCGAUUAACAUGUGUUUUGUAUGUUAUAUGUAUUAUAUACUGUAUUCUUACAAUAAAGUAAGCUGGAGCAAAGAAAAUAUUCCCA
rnacentral:lncRNA from 13 species